UUAGUGUGUCCUGGUAAACGUGAGCUCGGAAACAUGCAGAUUAUAGUAUUUACAGAGUCGACCUUGAGGCACCCACUGAUGGAUAAUCUGUUUACCUAAAAACAGCCCACCACAAUCCAUGUUUACCAGCUGUGGAAGUGCAGGUCAAAAAUCUUCCUUCACCUGUGGGCCUCUUCCCACAUGUAGAUAAGCACUUCAGGAGAAACCUGCCUGUGAUCUGCUAAGAUGCACAGAUUCAACUCUGGCCCAUUGUCAUCCCAACACCUCAUCUGCCAUCAGUUUCGUUUAGUGUCGGUCUAUUGCAAAAGUUCUUAUAAACUUUAAAUGAGACUUUGUGUUAAGCAGGGGUUUCCAAACUUUUCAUUCCACAACAUAUUAAGCCCAGGAUACACAGCAGGAUUUUUGCAAUCCAAUAAGACCUUAUCACACUGUGUGACAAGGAUUGUUUAAACUUCAGCAGUAGACUGUCGAUGAAGACACCUAUUGCAUCUGAGGCUGCAACAUCCGUUAUCAGCAUGCGCUAGUGGUAAACAAAUACAGGUAUGCAGGUCGUAGAAGCAAACACGUUGUUGAUGUGCGUUGAUCAUGCUGAAUUUCUUACACUGUCAUAAAACUAUCGUAGGUGUCUUUGGUCCCAGGACUGGGAAAACAGACGUCUUUAAACCUCUCACACUGUACGAGAUAGGACCACCAAUUAAGAGCCACGAUCACAGAA